CGCCGUUGUAUUUGCCAAACUCCCUAUACUCAAUCUAAAAGCCAAUUUCCACUCAAGGAAAAUUUCCACGAACAGAAAAUUUUCCGAAAAUAUCAUUGUUAAAAGUUGAAAAUUUUAAACUUCAAAAUAUUUUUCCGACGAAAUUUGUGUCAACUAAUCACAUUUUACAAAAUUUUCGUUCUGUUGAAAAUUUUCUGGAAUGGAAAUGGGCGUAUAAAGUCAAUAUUAAUUAAGUCACCUAUAUCAUUCCAAUCGGCGAUCACUGCUUUUCUAUAAGCUUAUUAGAUAUCUGAAUAUAUACGAUAUUAGAGCUGUGCUGUUAAUUGAACUAUUCGGUCAUUCCGUUACUUUUUUAGCACCGUAAGUCGGCACCGAGAUUUAGAUUUU